GUCCUACUGCCUCCCUCGGCGGCCCGGGCUGCGGGGCGCCGGGAGUCCCCACGGGGAUCAGCGUGUCCUUCAGAGUGCGAGCUUCCUCCCACCCCCAGGCUCUCUGCAUAAGCUAGCCCACUCCGAAUCGCACGUCCUUUCAGGCGCCCCUUUCCCCGCAGGGGCUCUGCCCCAAGCAGAGCCAUCUCCCCUUCUCCCCGCUCUCCCCCAUUUUCAAGCUGAAACAAUUGAGUCCUGUGCACCCCCUCCCUCUCAGGGGAGACGUUCAGGCUUCUGAAGGCAGUGCCCUUCUCCAUACUUGUACAUUCAAAAAACCUCAACCUCAGCGAUGGCCAGAGGGAGAGGGAGCAGACCAGACCCGGUACCUGCCCGGCACCCGGAAAGUUCAAGUCGUGGAGUAAUAGAGGCAGAGAUGCCUGGGGAACUUCAGGUGGUCUGGCUGGGCUUGGAGGAGUGCACAGGAAGGAAAACCUGGCUCUCCACUGAGCAAGGUGCUGUGUGACCCUAAGCAGGUUACUUUCCCUUUCUGGGCCUCUGUUCCCUUGGCUGUGAAAUGUGGUUCUAAGGCAUCCCUUGCUUUUUUUCCCCCCUCUCUCCCUUCCUCAAUCCUUGUCACCCCUGGCCCCCUCCCUAUUGCAUCCCCUCCCUCUUUGGGUCCCCUCCCACAGGCCUCAGGUCUCACUGUCAAUUCCUACCCCACCCUCGCAAACUGAUAGCUCCUUGACCUCCAAGUUAAGCUAGGGUAUUCAUUACUGUUCUAGGUGCUGAGGACACAGCUGAGAGCUGAACAAAGUCCUUGCCCUGUGCGAUGUCCAUCUGUGGGGUGCUUGCCUGGAUCCUGGGGAGCAAAAAAAUCCCAGUACCCAGCAAAUGAGUCAAUCACCUGGGUCCCUGCCCUCUGUUAGUGGUUGUGGGGAAGCCUGGUGGUGGUGACAAACCUCUCUGUCUGGGUAGGCUUCUGCAGCUCAGAGUCUUUUGAGUACAAGGACUGUGGGAAAUCUCAGAUCCCAAAAGCUUCAGACUCUGUGAUUCAGGGUCAAGGAAUCAGAGAUUACUUCCACUCAAAGCCCCCAAGGAGUCUUUGAAUCCAGCUAAGGAAUCUUAACAUGUUAAAAUCUCAGAGUCGAAGGAUUCUGGAAUAAAUGUAUUAAAGACUCUGAGCUGCAAGGCAUCUCAGAGGUCAGGGGUUCCUGUCUGCAGCCCCAGGCAGAAGCCCUCUUCUCAGUAUCCCAAAAAGGCAAGCACCGAGGCACCUCUAAGAAGAGAGAGCUUACCUCCUUCAGAGGCAGCCCCGCAUUCUUUUUUAGGACAGGUCUGAUUAUUAACAAAAGCUUCCAGCCUUGGCAUGGUGUCCAUCUCUUUGGGGUGGCUGUCGUGGUUCUCAUGUGCUUCCUCCUGCCUCAACUGUAUAUUGCUUUUAAAGAUAAAUUCUAGGCUGGGCGCGGUGGCUCAUGCCUGUAAUCCCAGCACUUUGGAAGGCCGAGGUGGGUGGAUCACCUGAGGUCAGCAGUUCAAGAUCAGCGUGGCCAAAAUGGUGAAACCCCA
rnacentral:lncRNA from 1 species